rnacentral:rRNA from 1 species
GAUGAACGCUAGCGACAGGCUUAACACAUGCAAGUCGAGGGGCAGCAGGGGAGUAGCAAUACUCCCGCUGGCGACCGGCGCACGGGUGAGUAACACGUAUGCAACCUGCCCUUGUCAGGGGGAUAAGCGGAAGAAAUUCCGUCUAAUACCGCAUAAUGCUGCGGGGAGACAUCUCCCUGCAGCCAAAGAUUUAUCGGACAAGGAUGGGCAUGCGGCGCAUUAGCUGGUUGGCGGGGUAACGGCCCACCAAGGCGACGAUGCGUAGGGGUUCUGAGAGGAAGGUCCCCCACACUGGUACUGAGACACGGACCAGACUCCUACGGGAGGCAGCAGUGAGGAAUAUUGGUCAAUGGCCGGGAGGCUGAACCAGCCAAGUCGCGUGAGGGAAGACGGUCCUAUGGAUUGUAAACCUCUUUUGUCAGGGAGCAAAAACUGCCACGCGUGGCAGGAUGAGAGUACCUGAAGAAAAAGCAUCGGCUAACUCCGUGCCAGCAGCCGCGGUAAUACGGAGGAUGCGAGCGUUAUCCGGAUUUAUUGGGUUUAAAGGGUGCGUAGGCGGACAGUUAAGUCAGCGGUAAAAUUGAGAGGCUCAACCUCUUCCCGCCGUUGAAACUGAUUGUCUUGAGUGGGCGAGAAGUAUGCGGAAUGCGUGGUGUAGCGGUGAAAUGCAUAGAUAUCACGCAGAACUCCGAUUGCGAAGGCAGCAUACCGGCGCCCAACUGACGCUGAAGCACGAAAGCGUGGGUAUCGAGCAGGAUUAGAUACCCUGGUAGUCCACGCAGUAAACGAUGAAUACUAAUUGUUCGGGUCAAAUGAGAUCUGAGUGAUACAGCGAAAGCGUUAAGUAUUCCACCUGGGGAGUACGCCGGCAACGGUGAAACUCAAAGGAAUUGACGGGGGCCCGCACAAGCGGAGGAACAUGUGGUUUAAUUCGAUGAUACGCGAGGAACCUUACCCGGGCUCAAACGACACAGGAAUGAUCUGAGAAAUCAGGCAGUCCUCCGGGACCUGUGUCGAGGUGCUGCAUGGUUGUCGUCAGCUCGUGCCGUGAGGUGUCGGCUUAAGUGCCAUAACGAGCGCAACCCCCAUCGACAGUUGCCAGCAGGUGAAGCUGGGCACUCUGUCGAGACUGCCGGCGCAAGCUGUGAGGAAGGCGGGGAUGACGUCAAAUCAGCACGGCCCUUACGUCCGGGGCGACACACGUGUUACAAUGGCAGGUACAGCGGGAAGCCACCUGGCGACAGGGAGCGGAACCCGAAAGCCUGUCUCAGUUCGGAUUGGAGUCUGCAACUCGACUCCAUGAAGCUGGAUUCGCUAGUAAUCGCGCAUCAGCCACGGCGCGGUGAAUACGUUCCCGGGCCU